rnacentral:rRNA from 1 species
UACAGAGGGUGCAAGCGUUAAUCGGAAUUACUGGGCGUAAAGCGUGCGUAGACGGUUAUGUAAGUUAGGUGUGAAAGCCCCGGGCUCAACCUGGGAAUGGCGAUGGAUACUGGCUCGCUAGAGUGCGGUAGAGGGGAGUGGAAUUCCCGGUGUAGCAGUGAAAUGCGUAGAGAUCGGGAGGAACAUCAGUUGCGAAGGCGGCUCUCUGGACCAGCACUGACACUGAGGCACGAAAGCGUGGGGAGCAAACAGG